GACGUAGGGCGCGAGCGUUGUCCGGAUUUAUUGGGCGUAAAGAGCUCGUAGGCGGCUUGUCGCGUCGACUGUGAAAACCCGAGGCUCAACUUCGGGCUUGCAGUCGAUACGGGCAAACUAGAGUACUGCAGGGGAGACUGGAAUUCCUGGUGUAGCGGUGAAAUGCGCAGAUAUCAGGAAGAACACCAGUGGCGAAGGCGGCUCACUGGCCCGGUACUGACGCUGAGGCGCGAAAGCGUGGGGAGCAAACAGG
rnacentral:rRNA from 1 species